rnacentral:rRNA from 1 species
AUCGAACGCUGGCGGCAGGCCUAACACAUGCAAGUCGAGCGAGCGGCGGACGGGUGAGUAAUGUCUGGGAAACUGCCUGAUGUAGGGGGAUAACUACUGGAAACGGUAGCUAAUAACGCAUACCAUCAGAGGUGCCCAGAUGGGAUUAGCUGGUAGGUGGGGUAAGGGCUCACCACGGCGACGAUCCCUAGCUGGUCUGAGAGGAUGACCAGCCACACUGGAACUGAGACACGGUCCAGACUCCUACGGGAGGCAGCAGUGGGGAAUAUUGCACAAUGGGCGCAAGCCUGAUGCAGCCAUGCCGCGUGUAUGAAGAAGGCCUUCGGGUUGUAAAGCACUUUCAGCGAGGAGGCGUUACUCGCAGAAGAAGCACCGGCUAACUCCGUGCCAGCAGCCGCGGUAAUUC